rnacentral:rRNA from 1 species
CAGCCGCCACGGUAAAACGUAGGUGGCAAGCGUUGUCCGGAAUUAUUGGGCGUAAAGGGCUCGCAGGCGGUUUCUUAAGUCUGAUGUGAAAGCCCCCGGCUCAACCGGGGAGGGUCAUUGGAAACUGGGAAACUUGAGUGCAGAAGAGGAGAGUGGAAUUCCACGUGUAGCGGUGAAAUGCGUAGAGAUGUGGAGGAACACCAGUGGCGAAGGCGACUCUCUGGUCUGUAACUGACGCUGAGGAGCGAAAGCGUGGGGAGCGAACAGGAUUAGAGACCCCAGUAGUCCCUGUCUCUUAUAC